rnacentral:rRNA from 1 species
AUUGAACGCUGGCGGCAUGCUUUACACAUGCAAGUCGAACGGUAACAGGGAGCUUGCUCCGCUGACGAGUGGCGAACGGGUGAGUAAUAUAUCGGAACGUACCCAAGAGUGGGGGAUAACGUAGCGAAAGUUACGCUAAUACCGCAUACGAUCUAAGGAUGAAAGCAGGGGAUCUUCGGACCUUGUGCUCCUGGAGCGGCCGAUAUCUGAUUAGCUAGUUGGUGAGGUAAAGGCUCACCAAGGCGACGAUCAGUAGCUGGUCUGAGAGGACGACCAGCAACACUGGAACUGAGACACGGUCCAGACUCCUACGGGAGGCAGCAGUGGGGAAUUUUGGACAAUGGGCGCAAGCCUGAUCCAGCAAUGCCGCGUGAGUGAAGAAGGCCUUCGGGUUGUAAAGCUCUUUUGUCAGGGAAGAAACGGGAGUGGCUAAUAUCCAUUCCUAAUGACGGUACCUGAAGAAUAAGCACCGGCUAACUACGUGCCAGCCGCCGCCGUAAGAC